AGCGAACGCUGGCGGCAGGCCUAACGCAUGCAAGUCGAACGAACCCUUCGGGGUUAGUGGCGGACGGGUGAGUAACACGUGGGAACGUGCCUUUAGGUUCGGAAUAACUCAGGGAAACUUGUGCUAAUACCGAAUGUGCCCUUCGGGGGAAAGAUUUAUCGCCUUUAGAGCGACCCGCGUCUGAUUAGCUAGUUGGUGAGGUAAUGGCUCACCAAGGCUACGAUCAGUAGCUGGUCUGAGAGGAUGACCAGCCACAUUGGGACUGAGACACGGCCCAAACUCCUACGGGAGGCAGCAGUGGGGAAUCUUGCGCAAUGGGCGAAAGCCUGACGCAGCCAUGCCGCGUGGAUGAUGAAGGUCUUAGGAUUGUAAAAUCCUUUCACCGGUGAAGAUAAUGACUGUAGCCGGAGAAGAAGCCCCGGCUAACUUCGUGCCAGCCGCCGCCGUAAUAC
rnacentral:rRNA from 1 species